AUUGAACGCUGGCGGCAGGCCUAACACAUGCAAGUCGGGCGGAGUGGCGGACGGGUGAGUAAUGUCUGGGGAACUGCCUGAUGGAGAGGGAUAACGUCCGGAAACGGGCGCUAAUACCGCAUACUAUCAGAUGUGCCCAGGUCGGAUUAGCUAGUUGGUGGGGUAAAGGCCUACCAAGGCGACGAUCCGUAACUGGUCUGAGAGGAUGAUCAGUCACACUGGAACUGAGACACGGUCCAGACUCCUACGGGAGGCAGCAGUGGGGAAUAUUGGACAAUGGGCGAAAGCCUGAUCCAGCCAUGCCGCGUGUGUGAAGAAGGUCUUCGGAUUGUAAAGCACUUUAAGUUGGGAGGCGUUACCAACAGAAUAAGCACCGGCUAACUUCGUGCCAGCAGCCGCGGUAAUUC
rnacentral:rRNA from 1 species